rnacentral:misc_RNA from 1 species
GAUGAAGAACGUAGCGAAAUGCGAUAAGUAAUGUGAAUUGCAGAAUUCCAGUGAAUCAUCGAAUCUUUGAACGCACAUUGCGCCCCUUGGUAUUCCGAGGGGCAUGCCUGUUCGAGCGUCAUUAUAACCCCUCAAGCUCAGCUUGGUGUUGGGGCCUGCUGCACUGGCAGCCCUUAAAAUCAGUGGCGGCGCCAUCUGGCUCUAAGCGUAGUAAUUCUUCUCGCUAUGGAGUCCUGGUGGAUGCUUGCCAUCAACCCCCAAUUUUUCUAUGGUUGACCUCGGAUCAGGUAGGGAUACCCGCUGAACUUAAGCAUAUCAAUAAGCGGAGGA